rnacentral:rRNA from 1 species
UGUGCAGGCGGCUCUUUUUUGUCGGCGGUGAAAUCUCCCGGCUCAACUGGGAGGGGGCAACCGAAACGGAAGGGCUUGAGGGUUGGAGAGGAAAGUAGAACUCCCGGUGGAGCAGUGAAAUGUGUAGAGAUCGGGAAGAAUACCAGUGGCGAAGGCGGCUUUCUGGCCAACACCUGACGCUCAUCCACGAAAGCUUGGGGAGCAAACAGGAUUAGAUACCCUGGUAGUCCAAGCUGUAAACGAUGUCCACUAGGUGUCUGGGGUAUCGACCCCUCAGGUGCCGGAGCUAACGCAAUAAGUGGACCGCCUGGGGAGUACGACCGCAAGGUUAAA